rnacentral:rRNA from 1 species
UCUACGGGUGGCAGCAGUGAGGAAUAUUGGUCAAUGGGCGGUAGCCUGAACCAGCCAAGUAGCGUGAAGGAUGACUGCCCUAUGGGUUGUAAACUUCUUUUAUCUGGGAAUAAAGUGCAGUAUGUAUACUGCUUUGCAUGUACCUUAUGAAUAAGGAUCGGCUAACUCCGUGCCAGCAGCCGCGGUAAUACGGAGGAUCCGAGCGUUCGCCGGAUUUUGUGGGGUUAAAGGGAGCGGAGGCGGGUUGUUAAGUCAGUUGUGAAAGUUUGGGGCUCAACCGUAAAAUUGCAGUUGAUACUGGCAUCCUUGAGUGCAGUAGAGGUAGGCGGAAUUCGUGGUGUAGCGGUGAAAUGCUUAGAUAUCACGAAGAACUCCGAUUGCGAAGGCAGCCUGCUGGACUGUAACUGACGCUGAUGCUCGAAAGUGUGGGUAUCAAACAGGAUUAGAUACCCUUGUAGUC